UAAGUCGGUAGUGAAAGCGUGUGGCUCAACCAUAUACACAUUACCGAAACUGCUGAGCUAGAGGACGAGAGAGGUUAUUGGAAUUCCCAGUGUAGGAGUGAAAUCCGUAGAUAUUGGGAGGAACACCGAUGGCGUAGGCAGAUAACUGGCUCGUUCCUGACACUAAGGCACGAAAGCGUGGGGAGCAAACGGGAUUAGAUACCCCGGUAGUCCACGCCGUAAACGAUGGAUGCUA
rnacentral:rRNA from 1 species